rnacentral:rRNA from 1 species
UACGAAGGGGGCGAGCGUUGUUCGGAAUCACUGGGCGUAAAGGGCGCGUAGGCGGCCCUUCUUGUCGCGUGUGAAAUCCCUGGGCUCAACCCAGGAACUGCGUCCGAUACUGGUUGGCUUGAAUCCGGGAGAGGGACGUGGAAUUCCAGGUGUAGCGGUGAAAUGCGUAGAUAUCUGGAGGAACACCGGUGGCGAAGGCGACGUCCUGGACCGGCAUUGACGCUGAGGCGCGAAAGCCAGGGGAGCAAACGGG